rnacentral:rRNA from 1 species
AACGAACGCUGGCGGCAUGCCUAACACAUGCAAGUCGAACGAGACCUUCGGGUCUAGUGGCGCACGGGUGCGUAACGCGUGGGAACCUGCCCUUAGGUUCGGAAUAACUCAGAGAAAUUUGAGCUAAUACCGGAUAAUGUCUUCGGACCAAAGAUUUAUCGCCUUUGGAUGGGCCCGCGUAGGAUUAGCUUGUUGGUGGGGUAAUGGCCUACCAAGGCGACGAUCCUUAGCUGGUCUGAGAGGAUGAUCAGCCACACUGGGACUGAGACACGGCCCAGACUCCUACGGGAGGCAGCAGUGGGGAAUAUUGGACAAUGGGCGAAAGCCUGAUCCAGCAAUGCCGCGUGAGUGAUGAAGGCCUUAGGGUUGUAAAGCUCUUUUACCAGGGAUGAUAAUGGCAGUACCUGGAGAAUAAGCUCCGGCUAACUCCGUG